CCUACGGGAGGCAGCAGUGAGGAAUAUUGGUCAAUGGACGCAAGUCUGAACCAGCCAAGUCGCGUGCAGGAAGACGGCCCUAUGAGUUGUAAACCGCUUUUGUACGAGGGUAAACGCCGCCACGCGUAUCUUUCUGAGAGUAUCGUACGAAUAAGGAUCGGCUAACUCCGUGCCAGCAGCCGCGGUAAUACGGAGGAUUCAAGCGUUAUCCGGAUUUAUUGGGUUUAAAGGGUGCGGAGGCGGGAGGAUAAGUCAGGGGUGAAAUCCCGAGGCUCAACGUCGGCAGUGCCUCUGAUACUGGUCGGCUAGAGAGUAGUAGCGGUAGGCGGAAUGUAUGGUGUAGCGGUGAAAUGCUUAGAGAUCAUACAGAACACCGAUUGCGAAGGCAGCAUACCGGGCUACUACUGACGUUGAGGCACGAAAGCGUGGGGAGCAAACAGGAUUAGAUACCCUAGUAGUC
rnacentral:rRNA from 1 species